rnacentral:lncRNA from 1 species
UUUUUGAACCUUGGCCUUAAACAGUAUGAAAACCCCUAUUUGAAUUGAAUUACCUUGAGUUGGGUUGAGAAUAGUUAUAUGUGUUGAAAAGGUUCGAGUUUGGGGUUGUAUGGGGAAAGUGAAAGCCAAAGGAAAAAGAAAAAAAUUAAGUUCAAAAGUUGAAAAAGAAAAAUGCAUGAGAAAGAAAAGAAGAAAAGAGAAAAAACAUGUCAAGUGAACUCAAUGAAAAAGGAAAAAAGGGAAGAAGAUGGGAAUGUGAGAUUGGUUAAAAAGAGAGUGUGCUUGAACUUUUAAUGAUGAUUUAAACUCUCUUAACUCAAGGAUUUUGUAUUCUAGAAAAAACCAAUUUUUCUUGAUAGCCCAGCCUCAUUACAAGCCUUGGAAAAAGUCCUUGUGAUGGCAUUGACAUGUAAAGAAUUUGAUUGUUUUAGAUGAAUGGCAAUAUUGUUUUAUGUGACAUGUGAACAGUAGAGAGUAGAGGGACCUCCUAAACACUUGAG